rnacentral:rRNA from 1 species
AACGCUAGCUACAGGCUUAACACAUGCAAGUCGAGGGGCAGCAUGGGGGAGGCUUGCCUUCCCUGAUGGCGACCGGCGCACGGGUGAGUAACGCGUAUCCAACCUGGCCGCUGCCACGGCACAGCCCGCCGAAAGGCGGAUUAAUGCGGUAUGAGGCGCUUCGAUGGCAUCAGAAGAGCGCCAAAGCUUCGGCGGCAGCGGAUGGGGAUGCGUCCGAUUAGGUUGCAGGCGGGGUAACGGCCCACCUGGCCUACGAUCGGUAGGGGUUCUGAGAGGAAGGUCCCCCACAUUGGAACUGAGACACGGUCCAAACUCCUACGGGAGGCAGCAGUGAGGAAUAUUGGUCAAUGGGCGGAAGCCUGAACCAGCCAAGUAGCGUGAGGGAAGACGGCCCUCUGGGUUGUAAACCUCUUUUGUGCGGGGAUAAAGGGGGCGACGUGUCGCCCUUUGCAGGUACCGCACGAAUAAGGACCGGCUAAUUCCGUGCCAGCAGCCGCGGUAAUACGGAGGAUGCGAGCGUUAUCCGGAUUUAUUGGGUUUAAAGGGAGCGCAGACGGGAUGUUAAGUCAGCUGUGAAAGUUUGCGGCUCAACCGUAAAAUUGCAGUUGAUACUGGCGUUCUUGAGUGCAGUUGAGGUGUGCGGAAUUCGUGGUGUAGCGGUGAAAUGCUUAGAUAUCACGAAGAACUCCGAUUG